rnacentral:lncRNA from 1 species
UAAUAUUGUAUAACAAAUGAAGAAAUAGGAGGAAUUAAUUACAUUACAAGAAUAUAAAACAUAGCAUAAUCAAUUAACAUCCAAUUUUAUUGAAACAUCAACGUUACAAGCUACUCUGCAUCUAUUUUGUUCGAAUUCUUAAAUAUUGUUAUUGUAUUCAUAUCGAAUCAUAUAAAAAUACAUAAUCUUUGAAAAAACGUACACAUCAGAUAAUAUUUUUAAAGAGUCUGAAUAACAUAAUCAACGACGAUGAAUAAUUUGUGCUAACAGCAACAACAAGUCCUUUCAUUGCAGCAGAAGCAGCAACACAUCGCAAACAUACUGCAUUCAAGAUUUAUAAAAUCAAAUUAAAAAAAAUAAAAAUAAAAAUUAGAAUAAACAUGAUAAUAUUUAUAUAAAUAAAUUUACUUAUAUAUCUAUUAAUUAAUUAACUAAACAUCAAUCCCAAAUUAGUUAAGGAUUAACUAAUUUGGGGCGGAGCUAAAACUAUCGAACAAUCUCAAAGUGAAAUAACUAUCGAUUUUCACUCGCAAGACAUCAAAAAAUAAGUAAAAUUCAAGUCCAAACAAUAAUUUCGACUUCAACUUCAAAAUAUUAUUAUUUUUUUCGGAGAAAAUGUCGUUGAAAAAAUAAAAUAAAAAUCUCAAUUUUCAUGUAACUCUACUAAUUUUUUUUUUAAAAAACUAAUAAAGUAAAAUUAACAAAAAUAAAUAAUAACAAACCAAGCAUAGAGGCAGCCUUUUUCUUCAUGUUGCCUUUGGACAUUAUCAUAAUAUGACAUAUUUUGAUAUUUUGGGGGAGCAUCCAUUUUUUUUCUUUCUAUGUUUGUAAUAAAAAAAUAUUUGGAAAAUUGCCUAAUAAAAAGAAUUUGAAAGUUGAUAAAGAAUAUUAAAAGAGUAGAGGUGAAUAAUUA